AAAACCCUAGUCGGCGAUCCUCUUCGAUCUUCCUUCUUCUCGUCAGUGUCGUCACUCUCCGGUCCUAUUAAGUUCAGGCAUCGGCUGAUUCGACUCAUCAGCAACUUCAAUUCGAGGCCGAGCUUCCCUUUCUCAGUCGAGCAACGCAAGAUUGGAACAGGCUGCUGGACAAUGAGUUCUGCUGGUGCCAGCAACAACAACACACCUACUCCUGAUUCAGGAAGGAGGAACUAAGGAGGAAGAAAAAGAAAAGAAACAGCUAAAGAAAUGUAGUAAUGUACUGAGGAAAGGUUCCUCAAAUAUAUUUCUAAUUUUUAUAUUAUUAUUUUUAAAUAAUAAAUAUUUAUUUAUUUUUUAAUUAAA